rnacentral:rRNA from 1 species
CCAAUAGCGUAUAUUAAAGUUGUUGCAGUUAAAAAGCUCGUAGUUGAACUUCGGAAUUUAUUCAUUGGUCAGGCUUAACUGUCUGUACUGGUGUUUUGAAUUCCUACCUUCUGAGGAAUCUCCAUGCCAUUCACUUGGUGUGGUGGGGAAUCAGGACUGUUACUUUGAAAAAAUUAGAGUGUUUAAAGCAGGCUAACGUCUGAAUACAUUAGCAUGGAAUAAUAAAAUAGGACGGCUUGGUUCUAUUUUGUUGGUUUCUAGGAUCACCGUAAUGAUUAAUAGGGAUAGUUGGGGGCAUUAGUAUUCAAUUGUCAGAGGUGAAAUUCUUGGAUUUAUUGAAGACUAACUACUGCGAAAGCAUUUGCCAAGGAUGUUUUCAUUAAUCAAGAACGAAAGUUAGGGGAUCGAAGACGAUCAGAUACCGUCGUAGUCUUAACCAUAAACUAUGCCGACUAGGGAUCGGACGAAGUUAAUUUUUAAAUGACUCGUUCGGCACCUUACG